AUUUUGUUUGUUUUCAAAGUUGAUUGGUCAAUUAAAUUUAGUUUUCCUCAUUUAAUAACUUCAUGAUACUUAUUAACUUUAUUUUUAAUAACUCAUCGUUUUAAUUAGAUCAAAGAAACGUUGGAGUAUCGGAAUAUUAAUUUUCAAAACUGUUGAAAUGCAGUAGUUGGUCAGAAAAUCAGUUAAGUGUAUAACCAGGAAGGAAAACUGAGUAUCAAUCACUACUAAACUGUGAUUUUUGGAUUAUUCCUGUGUGUAUUGCUGACGACGAUUGUACAGUUACAUUGUAUUUAAUUUACCAUUGGAUUUACAUUGACCAAAGGCCAUUUUGGAAACUAAUAUCAAUAACUGAGACUUGAAUGUUAUCCUUUUGAGGAUUUGUCAUAUUUACAUUGCAAUAUUGUCCUGAUUGUUGCAAGUCUGUCAUCAAACAUAAUCAACAUUUCAAAAUAUGCAUUAUCACUUCGUGCAUUUAUUGUCUACUUUCCUAGAUUAUCACAUCAUCAAACAUACUCAGUCCAGAGACUUUUUCAGUCAACCUUUGACUGUGCUUCAAACAAUUGUUACCAAUUGGAGUCGAUGGAUGAAUAUAAAUCAACUGAGAAUCAAGGGAUUUGUUUGCAAGUGAAAAUGUUUAACCAAACCAAACCAGCCAGUCAACCAACAAGGAACAAAACAAAUUUAUCCGUUAUUUAUAUUGGAUUGUAAUCAAUCAAAAUGGCAAAGCCUAGGAUAGCAAAAGCAUGGAAACCUUUAAUUAUAAAACUGAGAAUUGAAGCAACUAUUGAAGGAAAAUUAGAACACCAAGAGAAUAAUCUGAAUUGAUGUCCUCAAGCUAUAUUUGUCAAUUUCAAUUACCUGGAUCUGAUGGCAAAUCUUGUGAUUAACCCAAAUUUACUGUAAGCUGAUACCAUUUAACCAGAUGAAAACCAAAAGAAACGCCCAAAGCUUCCAAAAAUACUGACAAUUUAAAAUUUAAAUAUUAAAAGUUUAAAUGUUAUUUAAAUACAAA